UACAGAGGGGGCAAGCGUUGUUCGGAAUUACUGGGCGUAAAGGGCGCGUAGGCGGCCGGUUAAAUCGAACGUGAAAUCCCCGGGCUCAACCCGGGAACUGCGUCCGAUACUGGCAGGCUUGAAUCCGGGAGAGGGAUGUGGAAUUCCAGGUGUAGCGGUGAAAUGCGUAGAUAUCUGGAGGAACACCGGUGGCGAAGGCGGCAUCCUGGACCGGUAUUGACGCUGAGGCGCGAAAGCGUGGGGAGCGAACAGG
rnacentral:rRNA from 1 species